rnacentral:lncRNA from 1 species
GAGCCACUGGGGAAUCUGCCAAAGAGCCCAUGGUUUCCAUAGAAAAAUUAUGGAAAAGCUUAGCAAGAGUUCCCCUUCUGCUGCUCUGAUCCUAAGAAAGAAAAAUCAGCAUCGGGGAGAUAAUUAAUGGAAGUACAGGGCUCAUUGACCCUAAAGUCCUGGAGCCAAGCCUAUCAAGACGAGGCUCACAGGUCCUCACGAUCUAAUCCAGUGUCUGGUUGAUUAUAAAUGUUCAAUAAAUAAGACCGGUGAAAGAAGGAGACAGAGAAAUAAGAGCCAGAACCAAAAUUGGCAUAUCUUUAAAAGGAGAUCUUGAAUUGGCUCAGAUUUCUCAUCUUUGGGCCAAGAUGAACUUUCAGAAACAAAAAUUCUUGAUUAUAUGGAAUUUCUUCUUGACUGGGAAAGCUAAAUUUCUGAUACUUUGGAAGAGAGAAAGAAGAGGUGGCCAG